GUUCCGGCCGGAGUGGGCGAGCGGCUAAAUCAUAACAUUAUGUUCCAGAUUUCCUGAUUUGAAAUCAGGACGCCUUCGCGACGUUGGAAGAGAACGUGAAACAUCGUUAACCCGGCGUAUCAUGCCGGAAGAUGGGACGGGAAGGAACCGGUCUGCGAUCGAAAGCGGAUUGGGAUCUGUAUCAAACAGUCUCCAAACAGGACAAUGAAAGUGUUGGUGGUGUUUGAUUUUUGGAGAAUGUCAAAAUCGCCAUUAUCAAUACUAAGACCUGGAAAAAAA